rnacentral:lncRNA from 1 species
GAGUGUGUUUGUUUGUGUGCAUGCAAGUAUGUAAAUAUGUGCGUUGGCGUGUGUGUGUCCCUGUGUGUGUUUAAUGUUCAGUGACAUUCCCUCUGUCCUCAGAGACACUGCAUCAUUGCUGUCCUCCUUAGAUCGCUGUGACAGGUUGGGUGGGAGUUCAGACACACUGCCAAGGCAAUAUCUCUGCGUGGUACUCAGGGGAACCCAGGAGAACACCCAGGAAGUCACGGUCGUUGACUUGCAGGACGUUUAUAGUAGUCACAGAUGGACUGACACUGUGGCCAGUGAGCCUGCGAGAGGACUGUUUAAGACAAGGCAAUGACAGAGUAUUAUGCCAUACUCCCGAGGAGGAUGAGCUGGCCAAUCAGCAGUCUAGAGGAGGAUGAGCUGGCCAAUAACUCGCCAAGAUGAUCAUCAAGGACCUCAGCCACCCGAGCAAAGGUCUGUUCACAUCGCUACCAUCUAUUUUAUUUAUCCCUUAUUUUACCAGGUAAGUUGACUGAGAACACAUUCUCAUUUACAGCAACAACCUGGGGAAUAGUUACAGGGGAGAGGGUAUGAAUGAGUGGUGCAGUUGUCUAAGGCACUGCAUCUCAGUGCAAGAGAUGUCUCUGCAGUACCUGGUUGAAAUCCAGGCUGCAUCACAUCUGGUCGUGAUAGGGAGUCCCAUAGGGCUGCGCACAAAUGGCCCAGCAUUGUCCGGGUUUGGCUGGGGUAGGCCGUCAUUGUAAAUAAGAAUUUGUUCUUAACUGACUUGCCUGGUUAAAUAAAUAAAAAAUGAGCCAAUUGUAAACUGGGGAUGAUUAGGUGAUCAUGACGGUAUGAGGGCCAGAUUGGGAAAUUAGUUGGGACACCAGGGUUAACACC